AGGGUAAAACGGUCGAUGUAUU
rnacentral:snRNA from 1 species